CCUACGGGGGGCAGCAGUAGGGAAUCUUGCGCAAUGGGCGAAAGCCUGACGCAGCGACACCGCGUGAGGGAUGAAUGCUUUCGGGUUGUAAACCUCUUUCAGCAGGGACGAAAAUGACGGUACCUGCAGAAGAAGCCCCGGCUAACUACGUGCCAGCAGCCGCGGUAAUACGUAGGGGGCGAGCGUUAUCCGGAUUUAUUGGGCGUAAAGCGCGCGUAGGCGGCCGGUCGCGUCGGAUGUGAAAGCUCAGGGCUUAACCCUGAGACGCCAUUCGAUACGGAUCGGCUAGAGGCAGGUAGGGGAAGGUGGAAUUCCUGGUGUAGCGGUGAAAUGCGCAGAUAUCAGGAGGAACACCGGUGGCGAAGGCGGCCUUCUGGGCCUGUCCUGACGCUGAGGCGCGAAAGCUGGGGGAGCAAACAGGAUUAGAUACCCCAGUAGUC
rnacentral:rRNA from 1 species